UACGGAGUACAAGCUUAACCCCUCCACCGUGACUGCUGCCGGCGCCGACCUUGGCCGCUCCUCCUUCCGGCGCUAGCCUGAGCUAGGAGCUCCUUCUUCUCCUAUCUCCUGCCGGCGCUAGCCUGAGCAAGGACUCCGGACCACCGCCUUCCUUCCCAUCCCUCCUACCUCUGCCCAUCACGCACAGUAACCCCCAACAAUAAGCCAAGCGGCCGCAAACCUUGGCUUGCCAAACCUCAUGGCUCCGCCCUCUAAUCAGCAUCUCUCCUGUUCUCCCCUGCUCAAGUCGCCGGCUGUCCUUCUCCCUCAACGUUCCUAUCAUUCCCUAAUGCCUAAUUCGUCUUCGUUUCGUUGCUUCCGAAGAACUACUUACGCCGAUAAGGUGUUUGAGGAAAAUCCAAAUAGGCUGCAGAGAGGAACAUAAUGGCCCAUAUAAUUUUAGCCAUCCUGUCAAUGAUACUGGAGUAUAAUUAAUCCUCCAGUCGAUGAUAUCGGAGUACAUUGUCCAUCAAGCUAUUCACAAUUCGCAAUAUUUGGACCUAAAGGAGUUCAACAAGCUUAGUCUUUCAUCCGCUUGAAGGAGGGGGGGUUGAACAAGGUGGGUGAGAGCUGUUUUUCGACACUUUUGAAAAACUGAAGGUGGAUGAAAGUGGUAAUAUAUUACUUAUGCUCCCUAGACCCAAGAAGAACAAUAUCUGACUUGAAUCUAACUCUCCAGCCUGAGAAAGAGUUCCCCAUCUUACUUGGAGUUGAGCAAGUGUAUUGUGUCCUUUUUUUAUUGCGAAGACAAGUGUAUUGUGUCCUGUGAAGGAGUCAACGCAUUGAUAAAUACUACUCAUGUUGUUUCUAGGUAGUACUGUACAUGCUAAUAAAAUAUUGUGUUGAUUCAGGCUCUCCCAA